rnacentral:rRNA from 1 species
AGGGUCAAGCAAUGAAGCGCACACGGUGGAUGCCUAGGCAGCCAGAGGCGAUGAAAGACGUGGAAGCCUGCGAUAAGGCUCGGCGAGGUGGCAAACAACCUGUGACCCGGGCAUCUCUGAAUGGGGAAACCCACCGAUCACAAGAUCGGUAUCCUGUCCUGAAUCUAUAGGGCCAGGAGGCGAACCAGGGGAACUGAAACAUCUAAGUACCCUGAGGAAAAGAAAUCAACCGAGAUUCCCCCAGUAGCGGCGAGCGAACGGGGACCAGCCCUUAAGCAUGUGACUGAUUAGGCGAAUGCGUUGGGAAGCGCGGCCGUAGCGGGUGAUAGCCCCGUAGUCGAAAGUCUGAUCAUGUGAAAUCGAGUAGGUCGGGGCACGAGAAACCUUGACUGAAGACGGGGGGACCAUCCUCCAAGGCUAAAUACUCCUGGCUGACCGAUAGUGAACCAGUACCGUGAGGGAAAGGCGAAAAGAACCCCGGAGAGGGGAGUGAAAUAGAUCCUGAAACCGUGUGCGUACAAGCAGUAGGAGCCCCAUCACUAAGCUUCUUCGUGAUGUGACCCACCCAAACAAGCAGAGGUGGCUUAGUGAUGGGGUGACUGCGUACCUUUUGUAUAAUGGGUCAGCGACUUAUAUUCAGUGGCGAGGUUAACCGUAUAGGGGAGCCGUAGGGAAACCGAGUCUUAACUGGGCGACACAGUCGCUGGAUAUAGACCCGAAACCGAGCGAUCUAUCCAUGAGCAGGGUGAAGAUUGAGUAACAUCAAUUGGAGGCCCGAACCAGGAUCUGUUGAAAAAGAUUUGGAUGACUUGUGGAUCGGAGUGAAAGGCUAAUCAAGCUCGGAGAUAGCUGGUUCUCCUCGAAAGCUAUUUAGGUAGCGCCUCACGUAUCACCGCCGGGGGUAGAGCACUGUUUCGGCUAGGGGGUCAUCCCGACUUACCAACCCGAGGCAAACUCCGAAUACCGGUGAGUGCGAGCGUGGGAGACACACAGCGGGUGCUAACGUCCGUUGUGAAAAGGGAAACAACCCAGACCGUCAGCUAAGGUCCCGAAAUCCUGGUUAAGUGGGAAACGAUGUGGGAAGGCUCAGACAGCUAGGAGGUUGGCUUAGAAGCAGCCAUCCUUUAAAGAAAGCGUAAUAGCUCACUAGUCGAGUCGGCCUGCGCGGAAGAUGUAACGGGGCUAAACCAGGUACCGAAGCUACGGGUGUGCCUGCAUCACUUAAGACUAUUCGCUUAACGUCGCGAAGCGACGUUCAAGCGCUCCCCGAACGUCGAGUUCGGUGGGGAUGAGUAGAGUAGGCUUAAGGAUGCAGGCACGCGGUAGAGGAGCGUCGUGUAAGCCAAUGAAGGUGAAUUGAGAAGUUCGCUGGAGGUAUCACGAGUGCGAAUGCUGACAUGAGUAACGAUAAAGGGAGUGAAAAACUCCCUCGCCGGAAGACCAAGGGUUUCUGUUCGACGCUAAUCGGAGCAGAGUGAGUCGGCCCCUAAGGCGAGGCCGAAAGGCGUAGUCGAUGGGAAACGGGUCAAUAUUCCCGUACCGGACAUGGUUGCGAUGGGGGGACGAAGAAGGCUAGAUGAGCCAGGCGUUGGUAGUCCUGGUGAAAGUCCGUAGGCUGAGGGUUUAGGUAAAUCCGGACCCUUAAGGCCGAGAGACGAGACGAAGACACCACGGUGUUGAAGUCAUCGAUGCCACGCUUCCAGGAAAAGCCUCUAAGCUUCAGAUCAUGUGCGACCGUACCCCAAACCGACACAGGUGGUCAGGGUGAGAAUCCCAAGGCGCUUGAGAGAACUCGGGUGAAGGAACUAGGCAAAAUGGUGCCGUAACUUCGGGAGAAGGCACGCCGGCGUAUUGUGAGAGCCCUCGCGGCUUAAGCGAGAACCGGUCGAAGAUACCAGGUGGCUGCAACUGUUUAUUAAAAACACAGCACUCUGCUAACGCGCAAGCGGACGUAUAGGGUGUGACGCCUGCCCGGUGCCGGAAGGUUAAAUGAUGGUGUUAGGAUUCGUCCGAAGCUCUUGAUUGAAGCCCCGGUAAACGGCGGCCGUAACUAUAACGGUCCUAAGGUAGCGAAAUUCCUUGUCGGGUAAGUUCCGACCUGCACGAAUGGCGUAAUGAUGGCCACGCUGUCUCCACCCGAGACUCAGUGAAAUUGAAAUCGCCGUGAAGAUGCGGUGUACCCGCGGCUAGACGGAAAGACCCCGUGAACCUUUACUAUAGCUUCACACUGGACGCUGAUGUUGCCUGUGUAGGAUAGCUGGGAGGCUUUGAACUUUGGACGCCAGUUCGAAGGGAGCCAACCUUGAAAUACCAGCCUGGCAUCAUUGGCGUUCUCACUCAGGUCCGUUAUCCGGAUCGAGGACAGUGUGUGGUGGGUAGUUUGACUGGGGCGGUCUCCUCCCAAAGCGUAACGGAGGAGCACGAAGGUACCCUCAGCACGGUCGGACAUCGUGCAAUGAGUGCAAGAGCAUAAGGGUGCUUGACUGCGAGACAGACACGUCGAGCAGGUGCGAAAGCAGGUUCUAGUGAUCCGGUGGUUCUGUAUGGAAGGGCCAUCGCUCAACGGAUAAAAGGUACUCCGGGGAUAACAGGCUGAUACCGCCCAAGAGUUCACAUCGACGGCGGUGUUUGGCACCUCGAUGUCGGCUCAUCACAUCCUGGGGCUGAAGUCGGUCCCAAGGGUAUGGCUGUUCGCCAUUUAAAGUGGUACGCGAGCUGGGUUUAGAACGUCGUGAGACAGUUCGGUCCCUAUCUGCCGUGGGCGUUGGAUGUUUGAGAAGGGCUGCUCCUAGUACGAGAGGACCGGAGUGGACGCACCUCUGGUGUUCCGGUUGUCACGCCAGUGGCAUUGCCGGGUAGCUAUGUGCGGACGGGAUAACCGCUGAAAGCAUCUAAGCGGGAAGCCCCCUUCAAGAUGAGACAUCCCUGAGGCCUAGAGCCUCCUGAAGGGCCCAGCGAGACCAGCUGGUUGAUAGGCACGGUGUGGAAGCGCUGCAAGGUGUUGAGCUAACGUGUACUAAUGGCCCGUGAGGCUUGACCCU